rnacentral:pre_miRNA from 1 species
AAAGAGCUUCCUUCAGUCCACUCAUGGAUGAGAAAAUGGGGACGAAUUAGCUGCCGACUCAUUCGUUUAAGCACUUAAUAGCAUGCGAAAGAAAGAAAAAAGUAAAAUGCUAUUUGUGAUUGAAUGAAUGAUGCGGGAGAUAGUUUCUUCCCUCUCCGUCUGUGCUUGGACUGAAGGGAGCUCCUC